GGACCUAUGGCUCAGUGGAAGAGCGCUUCGUUCACACCGAAGAGGUCGCUGGUUCGAUCCCAGCUAGGUCCA
rnacentral:tRNA from 1 species